GAGGAAAACAGGACCCAUCUACACCACACAGGACCUUCAGAAGAAAACUGCACCCUUCAAUGGGAUCCCUGCUUCAACAGAACCACCUCUGUCACGCCAGGAGGGCUGCAGCCACCACUUAAUUGGACUGCUACCAACACCCUGACCAGGGUGUCAGGUUGUAUCCUGACUCUGUUAGUAGUGGGGCUUUUUGUUUUGCUUUGUUUUUUUUUUUACUAUUGCAUUUUUAUUUUUAUUUUCCUAUUAAAGAACAGUUAUUCCUAUUCUUGUAUUUUGCCUGAGCGCCCCUUGAUUUCAAGAUUGUAAUAAUUCAGAGAAAAAAUUACAUUUUUUUUCCAUUUCAAGGGAUGUUUCUGCCUUCCUUAGCAGACACCUGUGUUUUCAGACCAAGACAUCCAGCAUGACUCAGGAUGAGAAGGAGAAUUUUUUUCUUAUUAAUAUUUAUUUUAAUAACUGAAAAAAUGAGGUUUACUUGAAUUCUAAAUAAUUAUGGGGAAUUCCUGCUAGCACAAGAAAGGACAGAAUUCAUCCCAGUGCUCCAUGUAUAUCAUGCUAGCUGUUUUCUGUUUCAUAAGUAAGAAGAGUUUUGCCAGUCUCCUUUAAAUCCCAUAUAUCUGGCGUUAGGUGCCCAAGGUAUACAAGUGUUUUUUAUUUCAUCUGUUGCAUCCAUCUGUGUUGUCUUCUCUUGACCUUUCAAAUCUGCAAGCUCUUCUGAGCAAGGAUCAUAUCAUUACAUUUACAUAGUGAUUAUUACCAAAGGCCUGGAAUCAAUGAGCAUUCCCAUAAUAUAGUUAUGGAAGAAACGAGCAAUCAAAGCCCAAAUGACAAGGCUUUUGUAAAUUACAUAGCUAGAUAGUUAAAUUAACUGUAAAAUCGGAAGGGACAUUGGAUAGCUGCAUAAAAGCCCAUGAAGAAAAUGUGUACUUGCACAUUUUCAUUUUGAUCAUUCUGCAAAGACCGGAGAACAGAAAUUAAGGUUUUGUUUUCUAAUUCACAGUGAGAAGAACUGUCAACUAUCAGUUUUAAACAAAACUGUGUAAGCACACAGUAAAAUCUUUUUAGCCAGAUUUCCACACUGUGCCAAAUGACUGCUGGUGGAGAAAAAACAGCACUCUGUAAGUUUUGGAAGUUGUUCAGUGGAGCACCAACCUAAGAGAAAACUGGCAUUAUGCAGCUCCAACUGUUGAAAUGCUUAUUCAGCCAUAUCUGCCCUGGGUCAGUACUGACUUCUGUGGCCAUCACCUGAGCCUGAUACAUGCUGUGUCUUGAAGCUGUUGUGAACUUAUCUGAUGAGCUGAACAAAGCUAUCUGUUCUAAGUCACUUUUUCUGCAGUUUGAUUGCUUUGAUAAUAUUCUUCAGUUAUGUGUGAUGAUAAUUAAAGAACAUACAAAGCAUUGUACACAAAAGAGACAUUAACUGUGCUGGAAGCAGGAUAAAAAUUGCCUUUAUUUAAAUGCUGAGAUUGUAGGGAAAGGAGGAACCUGAGUGCUUUUAAGCUGAAUUUUGAGUGCCUGUGGUACUGACCCACUGAGUCAGAUCACUUUGACAAAUCUCUCAGUCACUCUCUUUGACCUUAAAGUUUGUGCCUCAGGUUGAGCAUGAUAUUAUGCCUGUUUUGCUGGGCUUAAACACCACCAGCACUUAAAUCAGGGCUCUGAGAGCAGGUGAGCCUCUCAGUUUGUGGCAGCCUCAAUCUGAUGGGUUUGCUCUGAAGAAAUAUGAAAGGAAGUGCCCUUCAGGAGAAUCAGACAUCACACAGAGUUUCACCAGCCAUGUUACAACAGAUGUCAGCCACUGAUGAAAGUUCUCCAGGAGAGCCAAAGCCUGUGUCCUUCCUGGGCUCCAGGCUGACAUCAUUUCCCUGCGUCUUUCCAUGGGCUGUGAUCUCCCUCAGAAAUCUCUGUACUGAAUGAAAGUUCCACCAUAUUCCAGGGACUAGAGGAAGACAUGGUCAGAACUUCUCUGUGUGGCAUAAUCCCCCAAGAUUCAGGACUCCUCAUUCCUUAGAACUCAAAAAAGCAGCCAGUUUUGAUGACUGAUUGAUAUUAAUUACCUCUAGGAUACAAUCCCUCCUGUCUGACUAUUUAAAUACUCUUCUGAAAAUUCAAGAGAGAAGAAGAGGAAAAAAUCCCUCUUGGAAACUGCUUCCAUAUUCACUAUUCUUAACCCAUUGGCUGUUAAUUAUUAACUGUGUGAGGAGCUCACAUUGUAACUUGCAGAAAAGGCACCGUGAAAGAUGUUAUAGAUAGCAUUUAUGAACACAAAGAGCUUUGUAAAAUCACUUUUAAUGCAUAGUCGUCAAGACAAGCCUACACUCCAGUGAGUCGAUUGCCUCUCAGAUGAUUUGGACAGACUUUUCUAAAACUCAGCACACACUGAUUUUGUUCUCUUUAAUCACUUUUCCACAGAGGGACCCACUAUGAAAGCAAACCCCGCCACUGCUGACAAAUAGAACUGAGGGCAUUGAGGUUUUCUCCCUUUCCCAAAAAGAAGUCAAAACUACAGAUAGAUAUUUUACAUAUAUAUGUUUUUAAGGUUUGUUUUCAACAUAAUAUUUUCAAUUGCUGGAGCUGUUUGUUUAGCUGAAAUUAACUAUAGUAAUUAACAUAUAGUACAUGAAAAUGAUACCUGCCACAGGAAAAGAACCAGAGUGACACAGCAGGACAUGAGAGGCUGCUCUGGAAGAAAGUUUUCCCCUGAACCAGUAGAGCUCAUUCUGGGAUUCCACUUUAAUCAUGUGCUGUGGUCUCUCAGUAUGUAAAAAAAGGCCCCAAUCAAAAGGGAAUUACUGCCUGCAGAUCAGAAGGUCUGAGAGACAUGAACAAUGAUGCGCUACUUCCAUGAGGAAUGAUUUACUGGCUCAGCACAGCUCCCUUAGAAAAAAGGCUUCUAUAAUUUUGUUUCUUCCUAAAGGAUGAGGAAAGGGCAGCUGUGCCUUUCAGAUCUUUCUCACAGUGAGUUUCCACAGGAGAUUGUCUCUAGCAGCAAACCCACUUUAGGACAGUAUUUUCCUUCUAUUGCCCCACAGCUCUGUGCUACACUGUGAGAUCUGUGUGCGAUGAAAUCAUACAAAUUAACCUGGAACACAGUGAAAAACAGAGGGUCCUCCUGAAAAAAGAAAUUGAAUGAAAAAAGUUUAAUUGAGAAGACUGAUGAAUGUAGUUAAAGUACUUCCUAUUCAAAGGAAGAUAUGCCUUGUUAACACUUAAAUGAAGAUAAAUCAAUUUCUCUGCACCCCUUAGAGCCCCCAAAAACUGUGAUAUGACUGAAAAAAGUUUUUUACAUGUUGAGAAAUGCACAUACCUGCUGAGCAGUACUAUGGGAGGAAACAGAGACCACAGAGCUCUGUCUUUCCCAGACCUUGAGGAAUAUCUCUUUAUUUUGGAAAGGCAGAUGAGAUUCCAGAAUAAGUCCAGUUCAGUCUCCAUGAUCCCACUGCCUUCUAAGGGCUUUCAGUGAAGGGUUGAAAUGCUUUGGAAAAAUUUUGUUGUGGGCUGAAGGUGGUUUAGAAGUUUGGUGCCCAUUCAUCUUGAUGUCUGAUGUUUUAUAUGGUCAAAUAAUCUAGUGGGAUAAAUGAAUGGCAGAGAAACAUUUAAUUAGAUGGAUUAAAAUUCUUGGAAACAAGGGGUUUAAUAACCAUUAAAGGUCAUCAAGCUUUUUCAAUUUGCCUCAGGCACACCAGCAAUGUUAUUGGAGACUGAUGUGGAGUUUGAAUUUAGUGAACUGAAGCUGUCUUCUAGGAGACAUGCAGAUGUGAAGGAAAGUAAGCAAAAUCAGAAUCAGGUACAAAAGGAGAAAAAAAGACAGUGUUGGCUUUGCUUCCUUCUAGGUACAGAUUAAACCCAAGGGGAAAUCUCUUAGACACCCAAAAUACUGCAUUGGAACGACUGGUUCUUUGAACAUUAAAGUUUGAAGAAUGGAAGAGACUGGUCUGCUAUAUAGGGUGGUCAGUCAACUGAAUUUUCACAUGAUUUGAAUGUCCGCGCGCUCAAUCCCCAUUGGCUGAACCAGCUGCCACCCAGCCAACCAGCCAAUAGCAGCCCACGUCUCCAACGGUCCACACCGGAGCAAGGUACUUCUAUAAUUCUAUAACCUUUAAGUUAUAGAAUUGGAAUUAAUUAUAACUGUGAGGCCUUCAGCCCAGCUGUUGGCCACCACAAUGAAGUCCCAGACCUUUCUGUUGGUUGCAGCUGUACUAAUCUCUCAAAAGCUGUCCUUGAAAACAUACAUCUCAAUAUAGUGGCAGACUGCAGUGCCACCUAGGCAUCCCCAGGUUGCUGAAACCCUAGAAUUUGUGUUACAGCACUAAAAGUUUAAAUCCUGUUUGUUUCCUGUUGUUGAGAAGGAAGUGGAGAUUGGACACCGGCUCUUUCAAAGUUGGAGUCUUGUAUCUCAUCAUCCAAAUGAGUUUUGGACCCUCAGUACUAGGCAGCCUGGAUUCACACCUAGGAGAAUCCAAUCAAUGAGCAAAUGCAGCAGAGAACCCACAGUAGAUGUGUCUGAAAGCAGUGGGCAUGUACCUCCCUGGAAAGUCCAGCUCUGGGACUAAUUUUAUUUAUGUAUUUAUUUAUUUAUUUACUUACUUACUUAUUAACUUAAUGAAGUGACAUUUUCCAUUCUUGUGGUUGAUACUCUGUCACUCAGGAAUGGGAGUUCAAACUCUGUCUGGCUGAGCUAGUGGAGUUUAUCCAAAGAACUAGGCAUCAUAGAAUAUCCUGAGUCAGAAGAGACACACAAGGAUCAUAGGAAUCCAACUCCUGGCCCUUCCCAAGCAGGGAACUGGGCAGCCCAAGAAUUCCAUCAUACGCCUGAGUGCAUUGUCCAAGUACUUCUUGAACUCCAUCAGGCUUGGCGCCGUGACCAUUCCCUGGGGAGCCGGUUCCAGUGUGAGAGGCACCAAUAUGAUUUUAAUUUACGCCUCAACAUACGUUACAGUGUUAAAGGGCUGUACAUGUGCUUGUAGAAGAGUUUUCCUGGCGGCCAGUCAUGGCAAAGAAAAGCCUCCACGACAGGACUGUCAGCGAUCCCCGCCACUUUCUGGUGGAGCAAAAUGCCCGGAUGCCCGCCAAAAAUGUUCGCGAAGUCGGGCUGUGGGAGGAGCCUUAGCACAUAAAACCAGCCAACUGCGACACCACAGGGCCAUUUUGCUUCGGGGUCUUGGAAAGAGAGGGGACUUGCCUGUAGGGUCCGCUCGGCCCUUUCCUCUCUCCCCUGCCUUUUCUUCCCUGUGGUCCUGCUUCCCUGCUUCGUCAUUCCCAUCUUGUCAUCGCGACAGUUCGACGGAGCGGCCACUACAGCCAGCCGUGCCCGCCUUCUCUCUCGGGCCCCGCCGUGCUUCCCGGGCCCCGCCGUCCUUCCCGGGCCCCGCCG